rnacentral:tRNA from 1 species
GGUCUUAUAGUUUAAGGAAAAUAUAAAAUUGCAAAUUUUAGGUUGGUUAGUCCUAAGACUU